rnacentral:pre_miRNA from 1 species
UCAGGUACUGAGUGACUCUCAGAUGUGCAUUUCUCAAGCAAUCUCGUCCUCAGGACCUGAGGUUGAAAAACCCUGAGAGCACCUCGGUAUCUAAGC